UAUAUUUUAGUAUAUGAUGUACAGGAAUUUUUGAUAUUCCAGGGGAUAGUUUAAUUCUGUUAAAUAUAA
rnacentral:tRNA from 1 species